rnacentral:rRNA from 1 species
GACGAACGCUGGCGGCGUGCCUAAUACAUGCAAGUAGAACGCAGUUGAGAACGGGUGAGUAACGCGUAGGUAACUGCCUCAUAGCGGGGGAUAACUAUCGGACACGAUAGCUAAUACCGCAUACAGUGGGAUGGACCUGAGUUGUAUUAGGUAGUUGGGGGGGUAAAGGCUCACAAAGGCGACGAUACAUAGCCGACCUGAGAGGGUUGUCCGUCAACCUUGGACUGAGAAACGGCCCCGACUCCUACGGGAAGCAGCAGUAGGGAAUCCUCGGCAAUGGAGGGAAGUCUUAACGAGGAACGCCGGGGUAGUGAAGAAGGUUGUCGGAUCGUAAAGCUCUGUUGUUAGAGAAGCGGUACCUAACCAGAAAGGGACGGCUAACUACGUGCCAGCAGCCGCGGUAAUAC